rnacentral:lncRNA from 1 species
UUUCCCAGGCAGUCUGCAAUGAGUCCUGUGACAUCCUCUCCGAAAUGGAAGUCACUGCAUGUGCUGACUGCCGGAAGUUCUACCUGUCCUGCAAUGACUCUACCUUGUGCACAGCCAGGGUCACAUGGAGCUACAAGUGGGUUGUAGUCCUUUUCACCAUCUUGAUGUUCCUGGCUGUUGCUGGCAUUGGGUGAGUGACUUCUCUCAGCUUCAGUGUCCCUAAGGAAACACCCAUUCUUUGACUGACCUGUCUCUCACCUUUUUCUUGCUCAGUGGAUACUUUUUCUGGCUCCAGAAGAGGUCAGCGGAGGCUGAUAAGAGAAGAGACAGCAAGUUACUUCCUUCAGGAAACGACCAGCAACUAGGGCAGCAACCAGAGCAGCUGCCAGAGCCCAUGCUGUCUGAAAGCUGUCUCUGGCCCUGGUGACUCUCUAUUGCACAAAGCACUCCUUCCUGGGACCUGGAGAGCUCUGAGGCCCUGCAGCUCUGCAGACAAGACUGAUAUAUUCUCUCUCUCUCUCUCUCUCUCUCCCUCCCUCCCUCCC